rnacentral:tRNA from 1 species
GGGGAUAUAGCUCAACUGGGAGAGCGCCGCCUUCGCAUGGCGGAGGUUGCGGGUUCGAGUCCCGCUAUCUCCACCA